rnacentral:rRNA from 1 species
GUAGGGAAUAUUGGGCAAUGGUCGGAAGACUGACCCAGCCAUGCCGCGUGCAGGAAGACGGCCCUCUGGGUUGUAAACUGCUUUUAUCUGGGAAGAAAAAGGCCAUGCGUGGCAAAUUGCCGGUACCAGAUGAAUAAGCACCGGCUAACUCCGUGCCAGCAGCCGCGGUAAUACGGAGGGUGCGAGCGUUGUCCGGAUUUAUUGGGUGUAAAGGGUGCGUAGGCGGCUGAUUAAGUCAGCGGUGAAAGACUUCGGCUUAACCGGAGCAGUGCCGUUGAUACUGGUUGGCUUGAGUGUCGGAGGGGUACAUGGAAUUGAUGGUGUAGCGGUGAAAUGCAUAGAUACCAUCAGGAACACCGAUAGCGAAGGCAUUGUACUGGCCGACAACUGACGCUGAUGCACGAAAGUGUGGGGAUCGAACAGGAUUAGAAACCCGGGUAGUCC